rnacentral:rRNA from 1 species
AACGAACGCUGGCGGCGUGUUUAAGACAUGCAAGUCGCACGGGACACCAUGAGUAGCAAUACAAGUGUUGUUGAGUGGCGCACGGGUGAGUAACACGUGAAUCACAUGCCCUUCAGAGGGGGAUAGCCCAGGGAAACUUGGAUUAAUACCCCAUGGUCUCGCAAGAGUAAAGGCGGCCGCAAGGCUGUCGCUGGAGGAUUGGUUCGCGCCCUAUCAGCUUGUUGGCGGGGUAACGGCCCACCAAGGCGACGACGGGUACCUGGUCUGAGAGGACGAUCAGGCACACUGGAACUGAGACACGGUCCAGACACCUACGGGAGG